UACGUAGGGUGCGAGGGUUACUCGGAAUUACUGGGCGUAAAGCGUGCGCAGGCGGUUUUGUAAGCCAGAUGUGAAAUCCCCGGGCUUAACCUGGGAAUGGCAUUUGGGACUGCAAGGCUGGAGUACGGCAGAGGAGACUGGAAUUCCUGGUGUAGCAGUGAAAUGCGUAGAUAUCAGGAGGAACACCGAUGGCGAAGGCAGGUCUCUGGGCUGACACUGACGCUCAUGCACGAAAGCGUGGGGAGCAAACAGG
rnacentral:rRNA from 1 species